rnacentral:rRNA from 1 species
UACGAGGGGGGCAAGCGUUGUUCGGAAUUAUUGGGCGUAAAGGGCGCGUAGGCGGUGCGGUAAGUCACCUGUGAAAUCUCCGGGCUCAACUCGGAGCCUGCAGGCGAAACUGCCGUGCUUGAGUGUGGGAGAGGUGCGUGGAAUUCCCGGUGUAGCGGUGAAAUGCGUAGAUAUCAGGAGGAACACCGGCGGUGUAGACGGCUCUCUGGACCGUAACUGACGCUGAGACACGAAAGCGUGG